rnacentral:misc_RNA from 1 species
UUUAAUCAAUAAGGCCUUACGUGGAUUUGGAAAAACAUGAAUUUUAAAAAAGAGAGCUUUAAGGGAAAAGCUUCUUCAUUUAAUUUAGAGAAAGCUUUUUUUUUGAUAAGAGAAGUCCGGAAAGGUUUUCCGGUUUAUCCCGGAGGGCUUGUAGCUCAGUUGGUUAGAGCGCGCGCUUGAUAAGCGUGAGGUCGGAGGUUCAAGUCCUCCCAGGCCCACCAGUCUAUGUGUUAAUUUGUAAGCGCUUAUACAACUUUUUUCUAUGAAGCAUUGCUUCUCGAUCCCUAGAUCAAAGUGCUUAUAAACCUGUCAGGAGCUUCAAGGAAAAAGCUUUUUUGAUAAGAGAAGUCCAGGGAAGGUUUUCCAGUUUAUCGUGGAGUACCUACUUAUGCGGUCUCCUCUAAGAUGUGAGAUCUCUCCUUUUUACUUUCAAUAUCUAAAGUUAAAGCGGUUCARAUGUUAAAGUGCUCUUAAUUUAGAAGGGUCCAUUCAAUUGAGAAGUUUCGAACUCUUUAUCCGUUUUUAGGGGGCC